rnacentral:rRNA from 1 species
GAUGAACGCUAGCGGGAGGCUUAACACAUGCAAGUCGAGGGGCAGCACGAGGUAGCAAUACUUUGGUGGCGACCGGCGCACGGGUGAGUAACGCGUACGCAACCUACCCUGUACAGGGGGAUAACCCGGAUAAAUUCGGACUAAUACCCCAUAAAGAUAUUUAUAGGCAUCUUUGAAUAUUUAAAGUUCGGUCGGUACGGGAUGGGCAUGCGUAACAUUAGCUAGUUGGUAAGGUAACGGCUUACCAAGGCAACGAUGUUUAGGGGUGCUGAGAGGAUGAGCCCCCAGACUAGUAAUGAGACACGGACCAUACUCCUACGGGAGGCAGAAGUGAGGAAUAUUGGUUAAUGGGCGCAAGCCUGAACCAGCCAUCCAGCGUGAAGGAAGAAUGCGCUAUGCGUUGUAAACUUCUUUUCCAGGGGAAUAAAAUUUUGUACGUGUACGGAAUUGAAGGUACCCUGGGAAUAAGCAUCGGCUAACUCCGUGCCAGCCGCCGCAGUAAAAC